AUAAAGUGUGGCGAUGACAUGCGGCCUUUAGCGGUGCUGCACACGAAGCGCUCAGCUUGUGUAAGCCCUCCCCUCUCAUCCCUCCCCUUAUCUGCCCACCCCUCCUGAGGCUCUUUGUCUGCUGCCUUUUGGCCUGACUUCUGUGCACGGCUGCUUUCUGCUGGCUUCACACGGUAUGUUCUGGAAGUCAGGAGAAAAGGAUCUGGAGCAAAGCUUUGUCAGGGGUUGGUCGGCGUUCCAGUAAAUUAGCCAGCAGAAGACAGGUCUCCUGUGGGUUCAUCAAAAGUUUGCCCAUGUCUUGGACAAACUGCAAGGAAGAAUACUCCUCCAGCUGCUCACCCUCCGAACACGGUCUGCGUGAUAAAGAUAAUAAUAAUGUUUCUCUUGUCUUUCCAUGAUGUGUGAUGUGUCAAUAUGAUUCAGGAAAAAAUACCAUGAAUCUCCUCAGAUGAGAAAGCUACCACUCAGAAAGGAGAAAUGAUCCACAUAAGGUGAAAAAGCUGUGCGAGUAGCUAUUGGAGCGGAGUCAGCUGCCGUGAUUCAUGGCGUCAGUGUGCUUUGGUGUCCUGCCACGUUUCCAGGCUUUGUAGGAAACAAUUUUAUGGAACCAGUUGCUGAGUGGAUGGAAGGGAUAUGGUGUAAAGGCAUCAUCCACUUCAUCUUUCAUUGGGUUUGUUACCUGCCCCAGGUGACAAAUAAGAACUCUGUGAUUCUCUUGGAAAAAGGGAAUGGUUUGUCUUUGUGGACAAUAGAGAGUUAGAGAAAUACCUGCCAAGAAGCUCAGGAACAAGUUUACAGUAAGAGUGCAGUCAUUGUGGCUCUUCAGACUUCAUGUCCUGAAUACCUUUCACUUUCUCCCACGUUGGCCUCCUGGGCAAAUGGCCCUUUUUCUGGUCCUAAAUGUCUGCUCAUGGUGUUUCUUUAACUCGUGUGCACUGCUCUACCACAGCUCCUUUCCAGAACAAGAUGAAGUACACAAACAAGCAGAUAUUCGUUGACCAUUGUUAUUACUGCUUGGGGAUUUUCAUAGCUUCAAUGAGCUGGGUGUAAUCUGAUCAGGGCAGGACUCAGUCUGAUGACCAAGUGCCUUGGAGAAAAAUACACCUGAGACUGUCCACGCAGCCAGACGCAGCACCUGUUAACAAGUAUUUACCGAGCACCAACUAUAUGCCAAGCAUUGUUCUAGGUACAGACAUGGUAAACAAGAUAGACAAUGUCUACUUCCUCACAGAGAGACAAACAACAAAUAUUUAGAUAAUAGCUUUAUUUUAGAUGUGACAAGUGCCAAAGGGACAGAGGCAGCGUUUGGAAUGAGUGCACUUAGGGCAGGCCAGAGGUUCCCUAGAAGAAGUGACACUGGGCCAGAUGUGGUGGCUCAUACCUGAAAUCCCAGCACUUUGGGAGGCCGAGGAGGUGGAUCACCUGAGGUCAGGAGUUCGAGACCAGCCUUGCCAACAUGGCGCAACCUCAUCUCUACUAAAAUUACAAAAAUUAGCCGAGCAUGGUGGCACACACCUGUAAUCUCAGCUAUUCAGGAGGCUGAGACAGGGGAGUUGCUUCAACCCAGGAGGCGAAGGUUGUAGUGAGCCGAGAUCACGCCACUAUACUCCAGCCUGGGCAAUAGAACAAGGCUCCAUCUCAAAAAAAAAAAAAAAAGAAGAAGAAGAAGAAGAGACAUUGGAGGUAAGAAGACCAAAAUGCUAAGGAGCAGUUGUGCAAAGACCUGAAGGAGGAGCACUCUAGGCAGCAAGUGCAAAGGCCCUGGGGCCAGGAGGAGUGAGAUGCAUUAGAAGGAACUUGUGGCAGGAAUGUAGAUGAGUUCAGAGAAGCUGGCAGAGGCCAUAUCACCAAGGUUUAGAGGCCUGUGGUGAAGAGCUGGGCCUUUUCUAAGUGUGAUGUGAAGACACUGGAAGGUUUUAGCAUGGGGUAUGAUAUGACCUUUGCACUUGUCACUCACACAAAUGAGCUUUACUUCCACCAAGUGGUAGGUUCAUAUUUGAGAAGCCAGCUGCUUUCUCAGAGUGAUAAUAGUGCUUCGAAUUCUUCAAUUUCCACAUUUGCUUUGGAACUCUGCCAAGACCACUCGUGAUCAUAUUUUUUCAAGUAUAAGUUUUAGUGUUUCUUCAAAGUGAGGUGUCUAGAACAUUCCUGGAAUAUUAAUUUUUCCAAUUAGUAAAGCAUCAGUACUACUGGCCAGAGCUUGUGAAUCUGUUAAUAUGGCUGUAACUCUGGAUGACUGAUAUGGGUUAUUUUCUCAAAGAACCUUAAUUUUAUGCUUAUAGUCUUUUAGUUACUUUCUCAAACUACAUUUCAGAGAUGGCCUUUGCAACAGAAGGGGCUCGUUGGUAAUUCCUGAGUAGUGAUGGUCAUUGUUAUCAUUUAUUGAGCACUAAGUGCUGAGCUCACUGGUAAGCAUUUUGCAAAUGUGGUUUUAUGUAAUUCUCACCAUAACCCUUUCUCUAUUUGUAGACAUAGGAACUGAGGCUUAAAUAAUCACCUUGAUUAAUGUGAAAUGCCUACAUGUACUACAUGUAGUACAUGUAGGCUGAGCACCAGCCACAGUCCUGAAUUUAUCUUUCAAGGAAUCUUUCUUCUGCCUUCAGCGUCAGGCACUGUGCUAAGAUCUAGAGACCCAGUAGUGAACAAGAAAGACAUGGUUCCUGCUCCAGAAAGCCCCCUUUCUAAUGGGGGAAGUUGCCUGGGAGACAGGCAAUGACCCUGUAGGAGAAUAAAAAUGAAAAUAAAGGAUGAUCCAGAACACAGAAUAGACUCCUGGCUGAGACGUCAAGGGUCCAGGGAAGGCUUCCUGGCUGGCGUGACUUGUAGGAUGAAGAAUCCUGAAAGAUGGGAAGGAGCCAUUCUAGAACGGGCGGUGCAGGAGUGCUACUCCUCCCAGACAGUUAACACUCGCACACCUUGGAGGACCCCACGUUCCGCCACCAUAACCAAGAAAUGACAGCUAAGCAGGCUCUUGAUGAAUGAGUUGGAAAUUGCUAGCUAAGACAAGGGAUUGGGUUGAGGAAAGGGUUUUGUAAAGGGUUGAGGCAGGGAGGUUUGAGAGAGCCUGAGGUGAUUAAAGAGCUUUGAAUGCAGUGUGACAGGAGUGUGACAAGCUGGGGUUGGGAGGAGAGAGACGAGACGUGCUGUUGAUGUUAAUUACUCCCACUUCCCUUAUAACUUUUAGGAGAUGCACAGGGUAUUUGAUCAUCCUGUCUGGAUAAAUCAUUUCAUAACAUAAAGUGACUGUAUCAUACAUGAUACUCUAUCACCACUCAGACACAUCAACUGGAUCAUGAAAAUUUAUUAACAUUUGUCCAUAUGAGAGCUGAGCACCAGCCACAUUUUGUUAUUUGAAUAAUUGAUAUCUAUCUAUCUUGUAGAGUCAGGAAAUUUGUAAAUCAUAUUUAUAAAUGUGUUAUGUGAUUUAUAAAUAACAAAACCAAAUAAUUUUAAGAAAAACUCUUGAAGGUAGCGUAUAGUCUACAAACAAGGACUUUUGGUGACAAAUCAUUAACUGAGUUGCCUAAUAAUCCAGGAAAGAAAUUAUGAGGAUCUAAAUGAAGACAGUCGCAGGUAGAGUAGAUUCAAGUAGUCUAUGUGAAUAACAGGGAAAUAUUCACUCUUUUUAAUAUGUUGCUUUUCCUUAACUGUCUCUUUUCAGACAAUUACCCUUUACAUCCACUAGAAACAGAAAGGGCCAACUCUGGCAGCACUGCCUAUGAGUUAGCCCUGUUCUGCAAGGAGAAGUGCUAUAAAAAUAGAGAAAGAAACAAACAGGAAUGAUUUGCAACACAUUUGACAUAGGAUCUCUAUCCUUAAUAUGUAAAGAGCUCUUACAAACCAAUUACAAAAAACAAGAUAAACCAUAUGCUGGCCCGUAAAACAAGUGUCAAAAACUCAAGUGGAUUUAAACCACAUAAAGACUAUCCUUUAAGAAAAACAGCAAAUUAACAAAAUAUGCAUUAUCAUAAAUAUUAUGAUACAGUUGAGAUCAAACCUGUCAGUUAUAACAAUAAAUGUGAAUGGGCUUAGCUCACCUUUAAAAAAAGAUUUAGAAGUUGGCUCACAAAACAAAAUUAACUAUGUGCUGUAUAAAAGAGAUAAAUCUAAAUUAAAGGGAUUCAGAAAGGCUAAAAAUAAAGCGAUUUGGAAAGGCUAAAAAUAAAUUAUAUGUAACAAGUGGAAAAAAAAAACCAAAAUCAAAUGAGUGGAAAAAGUGAUCCUGAUACUAGGCAAGGUAGAAUUCAAGCCAAAGAGCAUUAAACAUGACAAAGAAGGAUACUUCUUAAUGCUAAAAGCCACAACCUAGAAUAAAAAUAUAACUUAUUAAUAUUUAUGCACCAAAUAACACUACAACCAUCUCCAUGAAGAAACAAGUCAACAGAUACCAGAAGAUAGAAACACACCAAUAAUCUUUAACACACCAAUAAUAAUAAUUUUCACUACAGGACAGAUGAUGGGGCAGGGAGGGAGAGAAAAUCUGAACGUAAUAGGAUAGCUUUUAUAGACAUAGAUUGAUAACAGAGAAGUCUUAAAUGUCCACAGCAGAUUCACAAUAAAGGAUCAUGAAGAAAACGUCAGUAACUUUCAUUAGAAAUAAAAAUGAUUAUACAAACAAUACUCUCUGGUCACAAUGAAAUCUUAAUAAUAUCAAAAAAAUACAGGUCCUUCUACCUGGAAAUUUUAAAGCCUAUUAAACAACUCCUAGGUAAAAGGGAAAUACAAACUGAAAUAACAGAAUUUUUAAAAAUUAAUGACAUGAAAACAAUCCAUAUCAGAAUCUAUGGGAUGCAUUUAAAACAGUGAUCAGAGAAAAACUCAUUACCUUAAUACUUUACUCAAUAAACAUGAAAAACAAAUUCAGUUAGUUAACUUGCUCACUCAAAAAACUAGAACAACAACAAAAGCAAAGCAAACCAAAAUAAAGCAAAAGAAUAGGAAUAACAUGAUAAAAGCAGAGACUAAUGAGGAAGACAAUAAAGAUCUAAUUAAUAAAUUAAAAUCUUGGUUUAAAAAAUCAACAAAAAGGACAAAAUACUAGCUAAUUUAAUCAAGGAUAAAAAGAAGAAAGCACAAAUAUACAAAAUGUGAAAUGACAAGGAGAAAGAUAAACAUAGAAUCAAAUACAAAUUUUAAACAUAUACAUGAUAACUUUGCAAAUUUUUGUGCAAAUGAAUUAGAGAAUAACUGGUUAUGAAAAUAUAAAUGUAUAAGAUUAUAAAAAGAACCAGAUUUCUUGCCACUUGAGAAAGAAAUUAUAAAUAAAGAAUCCUAUGGUGUUUAAUUUUAAUCUGAAAUAUCAGUAUAAAGACAUGGUUCUUAAGGCAUGGAUAGAUGGAAGAGAAAGAGAGAAAGUUGUGUGUGUGUAUGUGUGUGUGUGUGUGUGUUUGGUGUGUACAGGUGUGUUAGUAGCUUUGUCCACUAGAGGGCCUAGAAGCAAUAACACCCCAGCAUUAAUGAGCACAACUAUCACCCAGAUCUUGGCUUCUAAACAUCAUUCUCCAAUAAAAGGAACCAGGGUUAUUUGGAUAAGUGGAUGAUUGAGUCCAGGACUAAGACAGAGAAAAUAUAAGAUGAACCUGGAACAUCUUUUGUUGGCAAAAAAUUUAAAAGAUGUAGUCUUGUUGAAAGAAAAACAGGAGCCAAACUGAAGAGCUCCUGAUGUCCAAAGCUGAGGCAAUCUGAGCAAUGAAACAAUGAAAUAAUGAAAGUAGUGGAUUAUAACCUAUACAAUCAAUAUUCAUUGAGUCCAUAUUGAUAUAAGUAAGUACUUGAUUCAAUAAAUAACAGGAGAGAAGGCACAGCUCUUUCAUAUAGUAGAAUUAUAAUGAGUAAAUGCAGAAGGUAAGAGGGAAGUAGAAAAGUACCAUGAGACAAACACCACAGUAGUAAUUGUCACAGACAAAAAUCGACUGAUGGGUUCUAAAAUUAAUGAUGAAAGUGUAGGAAAAACAAAUUUGCAUAGUCUCAAACUAUUUCGCCCAUGACAUUUAUUAUUUAUAAAGAAAAAUAUAUUCUCUUUAUGGUAAAAAACUAGGCAGAGGGGGGUGAUCAAGAUCAUCAGUAUGAAGACAUGUCAACAUCAUAAACUCCGUAAUAUCAUGCACGAAGUAGGAUCCAACUUCUGUGUAUUCCUGUCAAAAAGACAAAAACCUCCAAUCAAAAAAUAUCAGACAAGCCCAGAUUUGAUAAAUCUGGGGAAUUUGAUAAAAUAACCAAUCAAUAAUCUCUCAAAGUAGACAGGUCAUGACAAAUAAGGAAAGACUGAGGAAUUAUUAGAGAUUAAGGGGAGCUCAGAAAAACAACUAAAUGUAACAUGGGACCCUGGACUGAGAUCCUGAGGUGGAAAAAUGAUUUAACAAAAAAACUGGCAAAAUUAAAAUGUGGUAUUUACUUAAAAGUAUUGUACCAAUGUUAGUUUCUUGGUUCUGACAAUUGUACUGUAGUUAUAUAAAAUGUUAUCCUUAAGGAAAGCUGAAUGAGGAAUGUAUAAAAUUUCUCUGUACAAAUUUUGCCACUUUUUUGUAAGCCUAAAAUUAGUUCAAAAUAAAAAGUAGAAAUAUAUUUAAAAAGUAUGUUCCCUGGCCACAAAAGAAUUAGAAUACAAAGGUAUAACAGAAAAAGAUCUAGAAAAUUCUUCAAUAUUUCAAAAUUAAACAUAUUUCUAAAUAACCCAGGGGUCAAAGAAGUAAUCACCAGAGAAAGAAAAUCUUUUGAGCUGAUUAAAAAGGAAAAUAUGACCAGGCACGGUGGCUCACACCUGUAAUCCCAGCACUUUGGGAGGCCAAGGUGGGUGGAUCACCUGAGGUUGGGAGUUCGAGAUCAGCCUGACCAACAUGGAGAAACCCCAUCUCUACUAAAAAUACAAAAUUAGCCGGGCAUGGUGGCGCAUGCCUGUCAUCCCAGCUACUCGGGAGGCUGAGGCAGAAGAAUCACUUGAACCCAGGAGGCAGAGGUUGCAGAGAGCCGAGAUCACACCAUUGCACUUCAG
rnacentral:lncRNA from 1 species